rnacentral:rRNA from 1 species
AGAGUUUGAUCAUGGCUCAGAUUGAACGCUGGCGGCAGGCCUAACACAUGCAAGUCGAGCGGUAGCACAGAGAGCUUGCUCUCGGGUGACGAGCGGCGGACGGGUGAGUAAUGUCUGGGAAACUGCCUGAUGGAGGGGGAUAACUACUGGAAACGGUAGCUAAUACCGCAUAACGUCGCAAGACCAAAGUGGGGGACCUUCGGGCCUCAUGCCAUCAGAUGUGCCCAGAUGGGAUUAGCUGGUAGGUGGGGUAACGGCUCACCUAGGCGACGAUCCCUAGCUGGUCUGAGAGGAUGACCAGCCACACUGGAACUGAGACACGGUCCAGACUCCUACGGGAGGCAGCAGUGGGGAAUAUUGCACAAUGGGCGCAAGCCUGAUGCAGCCAUGCCGCGUGUGUGAAGAAGGCCUUCGGGUUGUAAAGCACUUUCAGCGGGGAGGAAGGCGGUGAGGUUAAUAACCUCAUCGAUUGACGUUACCCGCAGAAGAAGCACCGGCUAACUCCGUGCCAGCAGCCGCGGUAAUACGGAGGGUGCAAGCGUUAAUCGGAAUUACUGGGCGUAAAGCGCACGCAGGCGGUCUGUCAAGUCGGAUGUGAAAUCCCCGGGCUCAACCUGGGAACUGCAUUCGAAACUGGCAGGCUAGAGUCUUGUAGAGGGGGGUAGAAUUCCAGGUGUAGCGGUGAAAUGCGUAGAGAUCUGGAGGAAUACCGGUGGCGAAGGCGGCCCCCUGGACAAAGACUGACGCUCAGGUGCGAAAGCGUGGGGAGCAAACAGGAUUAGAUACCCUGGUAGUCCACGCCGUAAACGAUGUCGAUUUGGAGGUUGUGCCCUUGAGGCGUGGCUUCCGGAGCUAACGCGUUAAAUCGACCGCCUGGGGAGUACGGCCGCAAGGUUAAAACUCAAAUGAAUUGACGGGGGCCCGCACAAGCGGUGGAGCAUGUGGUUUAAUUCGAUGCAACGCGAAGAACCUUACCUGGUCUUGACAUCCACAGAACUUAGCAGAGAUGCUUUGGUGCCUUCGGGAACUGUGAGACAGGUGCUGCAUGGCUGUCGUCAGCUCGUGUUGUGAAAUGUUGGGUUAAGUCCCGCAACGAGCGCAACCCUUAUCCUUUGUUGCCAGCGGUCCGGCCGGGAACUCAAAGGAGACUGCCAGUGAUAAACUGGAGGAAGGUGGGGAUGACGUCAAGUCAUCAUGGCCCUUACGACCAGGGCUACACACGUGCUACAAUGGCAUAUACAAAGAGAAGCGACCUCGCGAGAGCAAGCGGACCUCAUAAAGUAUGUCGUAGUCCGGAUUGGAGUCUGCAACUCGACUCCAUGAAGUCGGAAUCGCUAGUAAUCGUAGAUCAGAAUGCUACGGUGAAUACGUUCCCGGGCCUUGUACACACCGCCCGUCACACCAUGGGAGUGGGUUGCAAAAGAAGUAGGUAGCUUAACCUUCGGGAGGGCGCUUACCACUUUGUGAUUCAUGACUGGGGUGAAGUCGUAACAAGGUAACCGUAGGGGAACCUGCGGUUGGAUCACCU